AAGUGGGCGAGGCUUCGGGCGCCUUGAGCCGCACGCUCGCCUUCUGGCCUGUCGGUUCUCUUGCGAGGCUGGUCUACGGGCUACUUUCCUUAGGUAUUGAAUGGUGGUCUCCUCUAUUGACAUAUGGAAGCAUUGAGUGGGCCAAGAACAAGAAUGGACUCUGGAACAGCAUCAGGCUACAAUAUAUGCAUCCCUUCCACUUGGGCCAUUUGACCCAGCUGAUUGCAUGUUACUGAGAAAGCUGGGGAGAAAAGAAAUGACAGUAUGGAUCAACUCAUGAGGCAAGCCAAAGGGGAAGGAGAUCUAAAAUGGGGAGUAGCAGAAGGAGAUGAUGAACAUCAGUUACAGCUCCCGAACCAAAUGCAACAACAGAGGCCAAAGUUCAUUCCACGAACCCUUCUCUUGCAAGUUUUCUCAAAAAUUGUGGCCAGUCGGGAUCUUGGAGCAGCCAUGCCUAGAUGGAGUGAAUUUAAUGUGAGAAGCAGGGGCGCCUGGGUGGCACAGCAGUUGGGCGUCUGCCUUCAGCUCAGGGCGUGAUCCUGGCGUUGUGGGAUCGAGCCCCACGUCAGGCUCCUCCGCUAUGAGCCUGCU